UGUUACUGAUUUUUAUUUUAUUAUAUAUGAUUGGUUCAAACAAAAACUGAUACAUUCCUAAUUGGACAACUAGAUUUGUAUUCCUAUCUUUUCUUGUUGGUCAAAGUUUUAAUUACAUCUUUGUUUCAUUUGUUAUGGCGCCCCUUGAAUAUGAUGGAAAGUAAUCCAAUAUGGUUGUAUGAUAAUCUAUAACUAUAAAGCUGAAGUAUCUGCCUUUUUAGGCUGUCCACGGCACUCUGGAGAGGGAAGGGAGGGGCUUUGUUGCCACGUGUUGACUCGGUAGGUGGUCAGUGUAUCUCACGCGUUCUUGUUUAACUUGCGCGUGAUUUUUUUUCCGUUGCUUUAUGUCCGUUUGUUGAGUAAGUGAAUUUCACGCGUGAUAAAGAUGUGAAUUGGCUUUGGGCUUCGUUUGUGAUGUGGGUUUAAUGUGUGUUUUAAAGAUGGUCCAAUUUAAGCCCAGAUGAUCAGCGUCGUUUGUAGCCGACAUAAAUUUAGGGUUCUUCUGUGUUCUUCUUCUUGCAGCGAUUCUUGACCUUCGAGGUUUCACCGACACAACACACUCCCUUUCCUACCCGUAACGUCUCAUAUAUCCUUUAAUCCGUAAUUUAUUUUACGUUUUCCCUUGAUUAAUCCACUCCUCUUUCAUUAAGAUUUCGGUGAGCCUUUUCGGUAACUCUGAAACUGCCUUGAUCUCCAGCUAUAUAUACCUCACCUUCCUAUCAUGCAAACUCCAACUCAAACCAAAUCUGAAACUCCAACUCAAAACAUUCGAUUUCCAAGCAACCGAUUCCGAUGGCUAAUUCAUACACUGUUCUUGCUGAUUUGAGGGCUGGGAGAUGUUCCAACACGGCGGAGGUCCGUCUCUUGAGGUUCUGGGAAGCGAAAAAAUCAACAAAAGGGGACAGCUGAUGAGCGUUGAGAUGUUAUUGGUUGAUGAGCAUGUAAGUAUAUUUUGCCACUAAUAUAAUUAUCUUCUCGGUUCAAUCUCUUGAUAUUUAGAAAAUUCUUUAAUUUUUACAAUCACGUAAUAUAAGUCUUUCAUGAUUUGUUAACUGUUCUUAAUUUUUGCCUUUUCUUCAUAUGAACAGUCGACGCUUAUCCAAGGGUCUGUUCCUGAGACUAUACAACUUACGUUUAGGGGUCGUUUAACCGAAGGCUCGGUGUACACCUUAAGUGGGUUCAAUGUCACACGCAGCAACCCGAAAUUCAGACUUUCUGAUGGGCCUGUCUCCAUUCGUUUCAAUGAGGGGACUGCUUUUAAAAGUUAGCAACCACUACGAGGAUAAUUCCGACAGAACAUUUCCGCUUCCGACCAUAUGAACAGAUACUUGAGCUCGCAAACACCGAGAAACAACUUCCGAAUAUUAAUUCAGAUUUUUUUUUUCUGUGUUUGCUUUCUCAUAUAACGAUUAAUGUUGGGUACAUACGAUGAUAUCUUAGAUGUUAUGGGUGAGCUUCGUGCAAUAAGGAGCACAAUAACGGACCGUCUACCUGGGGCACAGCGUCUUAUGCUAACUUUACGCCUGGAGGGGUACGCUCGGUUCUCUGAUAUCUGUUUCUUAUGAUUGAUGCUUACUUUUAUUAGUUUAACAUUCAAUUUUCUUUUCGAUUGAUUGGUUUUACCUAAUAUCAGUUUCAACAGGUUUCUCUUUGCUAAGGUUUGGAGAUUUUCCAACUUCGUAAUUUCCAUUUGUCAUGGUACUAUAUGCUUUAGUCAUUUGCAAUGGUCUAAGAUGUUUGAUUAUAUUAAUUAAUGAGAAAAAUUUAACAGUCAAAUAAAUCGGUUUUCCCAAAGCCUUGGUGUCCAUAUACAUAUUAAAAUUUGGUGAGUACUGUCGGAACGACGUCAGUAUUGUAAAUGAAGAGCAAGGGUCGUGUACAGCCCUCCCGUGGAGGGCUAAAACUUGAAAAUGUUUAAAUCUUCUAACGGACACGAGAGACACAACAGGUCUCCACGUCAGAUAUUGUGUCUACAUUGGGCUACAUCCAUCAGAUUCUUUUUCAAACUUGUGCGGGAGCUGAAUUGCUUACAAAUGGUAUGUUCUGGUUCAUUAUUUACCCUUUUAUCAAAUCCAAAGAUUUCAGUUUCGAUUUUCUAAAGUUUUAACCCAAGAAACUGUCACACAAUUUGGAAGUUGUCUCUGAAAUGCUUAAAUCUGACCAAACAUAUAUAUAUAUAUAUAUGUAUUGUAGUUCAUUGUGAUUAAGCACUCAGUUAACACUUUUUUCCUCCUCGGUAAAACUUUCUUAAGCUCCCUGGUGAGUUUGUAUGCAUAGACAACAGUAAAACAUGAUGAUAAUUACAGUAAUGAUGACUUUGAUGAUGGUAUCUUUGUAUCUCUUGAAUUUUUCAUGCUUGAAUCCCCUUCCGCUAACAGUCAUUGUUCUAUCUACCCUUCUUUACAUGAUUCUAUGAACAUAUUAGUAUAGCAGGUGUGGUAUAUGUUUGUGCAGGUGGCCAUUCCCCUUCUUUGAUUCGUCACCCCCUUGUGCCCAUUUGUGGUAUGCUACACAACCUCACCGCUCUACCUUUUAUUUCGGUUAUUAUGCAACAAAAAAUAAUAGAAUAAAAUUCAACUUCUGGUAAUCCAAAAGUUUGCCUUUGGUUCUGUAGGUAUAGACAAUGGAAAUGAUUAUUGAUCUUGAAUGGACUUGAGAAUCCAUGGUAGUAUGUAGUCUUAAUUGACGUCGCUGGUAUUCUGCUGUUAGGUUGAUGAUGCAUGUACAUUGCUUUGGAAUUUUUGCAUUGAUCGUGAAGUUGAAGUACAUGUUAAUGUUUCUCAGAAGAACCAUAGUUAUAAAUAACAUAUAUACUUAUAAUGUUUAUAGUACACAGUACAAAAGAAAAAUGUUACAAAUCUUUUCGUUGAUUUUGAAAUGUUAAAAUGGCAAAACCAUUCUGAGAAAUGCACUUUUCAAUUAUUUUACGACUUUUGAUUGAUCCACAUUCCUCUAGCAAUGCAGAUAGAAGCUUCAUAAGGAAAACCGAAACAACUCUCUCUGACUCUUGCAAGUUGAUGCCAGACUAAUGUCGUUGUUUGGUGAAACUCUAAAUUAUGUUCUGUACAUAAGAUAUGAACCUGUGUUCAUUGUGGGAUACAGUUAAGAUAACUUGACCUGAAUAGCAUUGAGAGUAUGUGACCUCCAGUCUCCGGCAUCAUGGUUCUUUUGCGUUGUUGUCUUUAAAUACGUUUGUGCAGAUUGCAGAGUCACUGCCUCAAAUUUUCUUCUUAUUUGGUUUUACGGGGGAAGAGAUGAUGGAGCUCAUUGAUGCAUUUCCAAAACCUCUACAUGUAUGUAAAAGUCGUAUCAAGAAAAAAAGAAAAAGAAAAAGAGGAAUGGAUCAUUUCUUUUAAAGAUGAGUACAUUGUAUAAUAUUUAGUAACUGAUUGUAACGAUCAACCAACUGUACCACCUUUACACAAUGCCAUGCCAGCUUCACUUUCA